rnacentral:rRNA from 1 species
AUGGACCUUACAAAAUUAUGGGAAACAAUUGGUAGUGUGGCUUACAAGUUAUUACUGCCACCCAAUCUGAGCAUUCAUCCAGUGUUUCAUGUCAGCCAACUAAACAAACACUUGAGUAGCCAUACAGUAUCUUGUGUAGGCCUUCUUUUGGUCACUCCUUCAGGAAAAAGUAAGAUUGAACCCACUGUAGUUAUGGAAACAAGAUCUCUUCCUUGCAAUGGUGUUCUUUUUACACAUUGGCUUGUGGAAUGGGAGAACUUAAUUCUAGCAGAAGCAACCUAG